UGGGGAAUUUUGGACAAUGGGCGAAAGCCUGAUCCAGCAAUGCCGCGUGUGUGAAGAAGGCCUUCGGGUUGUAAAGCACUUUUGUCCGGAAAGAAAUCCUUGGCUCUAAUACAGUCGGGGGAUGACGGUACCGGAAGAAUAAGCACCGGCUAACUACGUGCCAGCAGCCGCGGUAAUACGUAGGGUGCAAGCGUUAAUCGGAAUUACUGGGCGUAAAGCGUGCGCAGGCGGUUUGCUAAGACCGAUGUGAAAUCCCCGGGCUCAACCUGGGAACUGCAUUGGUGACUGGCAGGCUAGAGUAUGGCAGAGGGGGGUAGAAUUCCACGUGUAGCAGUGAAAUGCGUAGAGAUGUGGAGGAAUACCGAUGGCGAAGGCAGCCCCCUGGGCCAAUACUGACGCUCAUGCACGAAAGCGUGGAGAGCAAACAGGAUUAGAUACCCUGGUAGUCCACGCCCUAAACGAUGUCAACUAGUUGUUGGGGAUUCAUUUUCCUUAGUAACGUAGCUAACGCGUGAAGUUGACCGCCUGGGGAGUACGGUCGCAAGAUUAAACUCAAAGGAAUUGACGGGGUCAUAGCUGUUUCCU
rnacentral:rRNA from 1 species